rnacentral:rRNA from 1 species
CCCGCUGAACUUAAGCAUAUCAAUAAGCGGAGGAAAAGAAACUAACAAGGAUUCCCCUAGUAACUGCGAGUGAAGCGGGAAAAGCUCAAAUUUAAAAUCUGAGGGUCCCUGUGGCCAUCCGAGUUGUAAUCUAGAGAAGUGCUACCUGUGCUGGACCGUGUACAAGUCUCCUGGAAUGGAGCAUCACAGAGGGUGAGAAUCCCGUCUUUGACACGGACUGCCAUGUGCGAUAUGGUGCGCUCUCGAAGAGUCGAGUUGUUUGGGAAUGCAGCUCAAAACGGGUGGUAAAUGCCAUCUAAAGCUAAAUAUUGGCGAGAGACCGAUAGCGAACAAGUACCGUGAGGGAAAGAUGAAAAGAACUUUGGAAAGAGAGUUAAACAGUACGUGAAAUUGUUGAAAGGGAAACGUUUGAAGUCAGUCGCGUCGGCCGAGACUCAGCCUUGCUUCCGCUCGGUGCACUUCUCGGUUGACGGGUCAGCAUCAAUUUCGACCGCCGGAUAAAGGUUGAGGGAACGUGACGUCUUUCGAGGUGUGUUAUAGCCCUCGAUUCGCAUACGGCGAUUGGGAUUGAAGAACUCAGCGCGCCUUUAUGGUCGGGGUAGCAACCCACGUAACGCGCUCAGGAUGCUGGCAUAAUGGCUUUAAGCGACCCGUCUUGAAACACGG